rnacentral:rRNA from 1 species
UAUACAGUGAAACUGCGAAUGGCUCAUUAAAUCAGUUAUCGUUUAUUUGAUAGUACCUUACUACUUGGAUAACCGUGGUAAUUCUAGAGCUAAUACAUGCUAAAAACCCCGACUUCGGAAGGGGUGUAUUUAUUAGAUAAAAAACCAAUGCCCUUCGGGGCUCCUUGGUGAUUCAUAAUAACUUAACGAAUCGCAUGGCCUUGUGCCGGCGAUGGUUCAUUCAAAUUUCUGCCCUAUCAACUUUCGAUGGUAGGAUAGUGGCCUACCAUGGUUUCAACGGGUAACGGGGAAUUAGGGUUCUAUUCCGGAGAGGGAGCCUGAGAAACGGCUACCACAUCCAAGGAAGGCAGCAGGCGCGCAAAUUACCCAAUCCCGACACGGGGAGGUAGUGACAAAAAAUAUUAAUCCAGGGCUCUUUUGGGUCUUGGAAUUGAAAUGAGUACAAUUUAAAUCCCUUAACGAGGAACAAUUGGAGGGCAAGUCUGGUGCCAGCAGCCGCGGUAAUUCCAGCUCCAAUAGCGUAUAUUAAAGUUGUUGCAGUUAAAAAGCUCGUAGUUGAACCUUGGGCCUGGCUGGCCGGUCCGCCUCACCGCGUGCACUGGUCCGGCCGGGCCUUUCCUUCUGGGGAGCCUCAUGCCCUUCACUGGGUGUGUUGGGGAACCAGGACUUUUACUUUGAAAAAAUUAGAGUGUUCAAAGCAGGCCUAUGCUCGAAUACAUUAGCAUGGAAUAAUAGAAUAGGACGUGUGGUUCUAUUUUGUUGGUUUCUAGGACCGCCGUAAUGAUUAAUAGGGAUAGUCGGGGGCAUCAGUAUUCAAUUGUCAGAGGUGAAAUUCUUGGAUUUAUUGAAGACUAACUACUGCGAAAGCAUUUGCCAAGGAUGUUUUCAUUAAUCAGUGAACGAAAGUUAGGGGAUCGAAGACGAUCAGAUACCGUCGUAGUCUUAACCAUAAACUAUGCCGACUAGGGAUCGGGCGAUGUUAUCUUUUUGACUCGCUCGGCACCUUACGAGAAAUCAAAGUC